CAAAUGCAAAUGCAAAUGCAGGGAAAGGAGGAAACCGAUUUGCCAGAGUAUAUCCUUGGGACGGUUCGUCUUAACAGAAUAGAGCUGGACUCAGCCGUAUCAUUGGAGGUAUGAGAACAGCCAGUGCCAACUAAAACAUGUGUCUUAUCAUGGAUUCCCUUUGGCCAAGUAGAGACCAAAAAAGAAAAGACAAAUGAAUAAUAAAAGAUUGAACUUCAAAAAAUUUAUUCUUUUCUUUAAGAGAUGUUCUUUAACGUAUAUGUUAUAUAACUUAAAUUGCGUCAACAACCUUUAUGUGCUUUUUGUCGCAACAAAACGUUUAAAAGAAGCGUAUGUAAACUACCAGAAAUGAGAAUUUUUAGAUUUUGUCUUU